rnacentral:lncRNA from 1 species
AUCAGACAUGGAAAUGACUAUGGCUCUUAAAAAUUCAAAGGUGAAUAUCUAUUCUUCUGUACAAUCUUUAAGAGAGACAUAUUUUAGAUUUAUGUAUUUUUCAAAAAAAUAAAAGUAUUGUUUGUUUACCUAUAUUGCUGAUUAAUGCAAGUGAAAUCAGUAUCAACUCAUCUCAAAUAAAUCAAACAUUCAAACCCAAUAGGCAUGAAUAUAAACCAUACAUGAAAAAAAAAAAAAAAUUAUGACGCCUAUACAUGUACUUGCAAAACCACUAAAUGGAAAUCUAUUUCCAAAUUGUGCCAAAUUAUGGCAAAAAUCAGGUUUUAACGAAAUCUACAUUUAUGACAUCUCAAAUACUUCAUUAAUAAAAUCUUCUUUAACUGUUCAAGUGGAUAUUUUAACAUACAUUUUCCACGUAAGUGAACCAACUUAUUUAAUAUGAUAUUAAAUUUAUCACAAUUUUAAGGGAGAAAUGGAAAGAAAAAAAAAAUAAUGGUUGAACAUAUCUGGAUAGGUUAUGGAUCUUUGAUAUUUGAGUUUUAAGUAUGAAGCUAAAUUAUUUGGUAACUUAAAGUAACGUUUUUUUAACAGGUAUUGGUUGCAUGCAUGUCUGACCGCUUUGUCAAUCAUGAGAAAUGCCACAGAUGGUUCCUAUACUCUAUAGAACAAUUACACAAGCCUUUUGCCAUCGCAGUGAUGAAUGAGUCCCUUGAAUGGAAGCACACAGACAUUGGAUUUAAAAUUGGUAACCCUGUAAGUAACUCCUUUAUCUUUAUAUGCCUUAUUUAUGGGCCUUAUGUUUUCUGGUCUGUGCUUUUGUUCGUCCGUCUGUCCUGCUUCAGGUUAAAGUUUUUGGUCAAGGUAGUUUUUGAUGAAGUUGAAGUUCAAUCAACUUGAAACUUAGUAGACAUGUUCCCCUAUGAUAUGAUAUUUUUAAUUUAAAUGCCAAAUAAGAGUUUUUACCCCAUUUGCAUGGGCCACUGAACAUAAAAAAAUAGUGUGGAUGAGGCAUCCGUGUUCUAUGGUUCUAUGGACACAUUCUUGUUUAAAUGGUAAUGUGGAUAGCUUUGUGUUACUGUGACUUGUCUAAGUGUAGAUCUCCACCUAUAUGGUAACUUCCUAACAACAUAUUGUAACUUGACAUACCCGUAUAUUUUACUGAAUAUAAGACGAUUAAAUACAAAAGAUGUCUGAUUCUUAUGGAUAUAGAAGAUAUUGUAUGAUUUUUCAUAAUAUAAUUGAAGUGAAAUUAAAAUCUCAUAGGAUUGUAAGUAUGUUUUAGUUUAUCACCUUGCACUUUCACGACUUGAAUAUGUGUUUCUACAUCAGUUCAAUUUUCUGACCAGUUGAACAGUUUGGUUUUAUAAAACAAAUUGCAAUUUGGUCAGAAUUUUGAAUAAAUGCAAUAGGUGGAGAGCAACACUUACAGUCAAGUCACUGUAAAAAUAUUAAUUUUGUCUCAUGUUUUACCAAUAUAGCAAAAGUGAGAAAUAGGUAUGCCCUAUUUUGGAAGUGUGUCACCUUAUAAUUAAAAAAAAGGUGUUUAAACAGUCAUAUUUUCAAAGGUAAAAUAAUUUACAAUGCACUUUUGUAUAAAGAUAGCUAUCUGAAUAAAAUGACAUUUAAGGAUUGCUUCAAUAAAAUGUCAUUAAGAAGGAAAAAUCUUAAAUGUUUUUUUCCAGAGAUUUGCAAUGAUAAAGAAUAUGAAAAGGUAUCCAGAGAAAAUAAAGGACUUGAUAGAUAUUAUCAAAGGUCAUAUGGAGAUAAUAGAGAAGGUAUGUAGGAUUUGGUAUACUGUAAAUUCUGAAAUUAUUGCAAGGUUUUUUAUUAUUGCGAAAAAUGCGACAGAGUUGUAAACGCAAUAAUUUAAAAUCGCAUUUUGAAACUUUCUACAUGAAUUAAACAGAAUUUUUCUCAAAAUGGAAAAAAAUAACUCGCUUUUAUGUCUAAAAUGACAAAAUCACAAUAAUAUUUGCACGCAUAUUUCUGAAUUUACAGUAGUGUCAUAGUGGUUCAUAAUUUCAUAAAAAUUAAGUUAAGAUUUUAUUCAUUAUGCUAUUUAUGUAUUACUUGAUGAUCAUUCUUUCCUUUGAAACUUUCAUAAAUUCAUUACUGGACUAAAUUGAAUUGUUGCCUAAUGAAUAAGUUUCCAAUACAUUAUUUACUGAUAAACAGAAAUAUGUGAGCUUAUUUGUAUCACAUGGAUAUGAUAAUAUUUGCUUGUUAUUGAAAAAUAAUGUUAAUCUUUUGAUAAUGUCUUGUAUCUGGUUUAAGAUGAAACUGAAAACCCCUGAAGUAUUUAUAAGUUACUGUUGGGCAAACUCUCAGGAGGCGUGUUCAAUUACAACAGAAGCUAAAGAUGGAUCCAUUGGUUAUGGUGAUCCAAGAGUAAUGAAGACACACCUAGAAAAGAAUGGUAUUAGGUGUUGGAUGGACAUAGAACAGAUGGGAAAG